AUGGGUUUAGCUGCUGCAAGAUAGAUGGCUGAACAGAUGGUAUUUGUUGUUGCGGUAGAACUGGUUGUUGGUGUUGUGAAAAUGGUGGUUGUUGCAGUAGAAUUGGUUGUUGUUGUUGCUGCGAAAAUGGUGGUUGUUGCUGCUGCUGAGAAAAUGGUGGUUGUUGCUGCGAAAAUGGUGGUUGUUGCGGUAAAAGUGGUUGUUGUUGCUGCGGAAAUUGUUGUUGUUGCUGCGAAAAUGGUGGUUGUUGCGGUAGAAUGGGUUGUUGUUGCUGCGAAAAUGGUGGUUGUUGUUGUGAAAAUGGUGGUUGUUGUUGCUGCGAUAAUGGUGGUUGUUGUUGCUGUGAACAUGGUGGCUGUUGUGGAAAUGGUUGUGGUUGUUGUUGGAUGGGUUGUUGUUGUUGGUACCAUAAUAUUUGUUGUAGUGGUAAUGGUUGUUGUUGCAAUGGUUUCUCCAAGCUAGGGAUGUGGCUAGUCUCCAUUUGUGCAAUGGCACUUGUCGCCGCAACGGCGAGGAGGGCAAAG
rnacentral:lncRNA from 1 species